rnacentral:lncRNA from 1 species
AGAACAAGAAACUCUUUUCUUGUAAUUGUAUUUUCUCUCUUGGCUUUGUAUUGCAAUCCCGUAAAGUUUUUCUUCUCAAGAAUAAUAAUUAAAAACCCGGAAAAAAAGGAACCAUGCAAAUUUUCUCAAUCACCCUUUAUAUAGCAUCACCUACAAACCCUAUUCCUAUUUGGUUGAGGUAAUAAUUUACUUAGGGUAAAAGUUUAUUCCAAAAAUAAACUUUAAAUAACUUUGUAUGGAAAUUCCAAAUUUCCAUACCUUUGGUUACGUGAGCAGUGCUGAAGGGUUUACUGACAUUUAAUAUCCAAUUCUAAAUUGGAUUGUAA